AGAGUUUGAUCAUGGCUCAGGAUAAACGCUGGCGGCGUGCAUAACACAUGCAAGUCGAACGAUGAAACUUAACUGAUCUCUUCGGAGUGAAAUUAAGUGGAUUAGUGGCGGACGGGUGAGUAACGCGUGAGUAACCUGCCUUAGAGAAGGGGAUAGCCUUUGGAAACGAAGAAUAAUACCCUAUGAUAUGAUAGCAUCGCAUGAUAUUAUCAUCAAAGAUUUAUCGCUCUAAGAUGGACUUGCGUCUGAUUAGUUAGUUGGUGAGGUAAGGGCUCACCAAGGCAGCGAUCAGUAGCCGGCUUGAGAGAGUGUACGGCCACAUUGGGACUGAGACACGGCCCAGACUCCUACGGGAGGCAGCAGUGGGGAAUUUUGCACAAUGGGGGAAACCCUGAUGCAGCGACGCCGCGUGAUUUAGAAGGCCUUCGGGUUGUAAAAAUCUUUUGUAUGGGAAGAAAAUGACAGUACCAUACGAAUAAGGACCGGCUAAUUACGUGCCAGCAGCCGCGGUAAUACGUAAGGUCCGAGCGUUGUCCGGAAUCAUUGGGCGUAAAGGGUACGUAGGCGGGUAAGCAAGUUAGAAGUGAAAUCCUAUAGCUCAACUAUAGUAAGCUUUUAAAACUGUUCAUCUUGAGGUAUGGAAGGGAAAGUGGAAUUCCUAGUGUAGCGGUGAAAUGCGCAGAUAUUAGGAGGAAUACCGGUGGCGAAGGCGACCUUCUGGCCAUAUCCUGACGCUGAGGUACGAAAGCGUGGGUAGCAAACAGGAUUAGAUACCCUGGUAGUCC
rnacentral:rRNA from 1 species